rnacentral:sRNA from 1 species
GGUUAUUAUGACGUAGUAAUACGGAAUGAUGACUUAGUGGCGAACGGGUGAGUAACACGUAGGUAACCUGCCCUCAGGAUUGGGAUACUCCCGGGAAACGGGGCACAAUACCGAAUGUUAUUCCAUAGUGAAAUUCUGUGGAAUAAAAGCUGCGAGCAAUCGCAGCGCCAGAGGAGGGGCCUGCGGCCUAUCAGCUUGUUGGUGAGGUAACGGCUCACCAAGGCAAGGAAGGGUAGCCGGACUGAGAGGUUGAUCGGCCACACUGGAAUUGAGUUCACGGUCCAGACGACUACCGGGAGGCAGCUAGUGUGAUCUUGAUGAUAACUCGAGUCCAUCCCAGAAAUUCUGCGG